rnacentral:lncRNA from 1 species
GAAAAUCAUGACUCUGUAAUAGUGUGUCUAUUUCUUGGUCCUCCAAUCUGUUCUAUUUAUCAUAGGUCUACUUUUCUUUAUGUCAGUACCACACUGUUUUGAUUACUCUUCCUAUUCAUUCUUAUGUUAUAAAAUCUUGACAUAUUGAUAUCCAUAAAUACUUGGAUUUUAUAGCAAGCAACAAAACAAAGUUUUCUUGUAUCUCAGUAACACUAACUAAUUAAAAAGGAAACCAAGCCAUUAUAUAGUCCAGACAGAGCAAAUAUCAGGAAUUUCAACAAAGCAAUCAUUAAAAUAUAACAAAUAUUCAUAAAUUUCUAUGUAAGUAGCCAUAACAUAGGUAGACAAAUUUUUGUACAAAUAGGCACAAAGCAUUCAGCAAAAUAAUAAAUUUGAAGUAGUUCUAAUACCAUGUGCAAGCAAGGAGUUAAAGCAAAUAUUACAUUUAAUAUAAUUUACAGUAAGCUAUAGAAAAAAAGUCAAAAGCAUAUCAGAGGAAUAAAACAAUCAGCAGCAAUAGACCUAAGAAUUACAAAUGUUUUAAUUUUCAUCAAAACAUGAAACAUCAUUUUUAAAGCCACCUAAAUUUGCAUCUCUGAAACCUGAAAACUUGUCACUGUUUAACUUUUAAAAAACUACUAGCGCUCUUUGAGUUUGAAACUAUGGUUACCACUUUCAAGCAAUUGUUAAUUCUUAGUACCUUCAAAGGUCAUUACUGUGAAAGUUUUAUGAGCAUAUAUUUGCAAAAGCAAAUAAAACAUUUUCUGCUUGGGCAGGCCUCAUAAGAAUCAGGACAUUUCAUAGCCUAUAGGACAUUUGUCCCUUAGGCCACAUCAUGGCGUGGCCUGCAGAGCUUUUUCAGAUGUAGAGAUAAAUUUCCCUACUUUGUGUGAUCCUGCUCCUUCAGAGUGUUUUUCUCUUGCCCGAAAGUACAUUGUGGGCAGGGUUGGAGACUUUUCAUUCAGCAAUAGAAUUCCUGCCACAAGUAGGACACGAGCAUGGUGGCCUCUGGUCUAUAAUACAGGUGCAUUUAUUAGGGGCCAGGUAAUUUUUUGGUAACUUUUGUAGGGAGGGAGAGUGUGACUAUUUCUUAUAAGCUGGUACUUGCUGUAUUCUCUGUUUACUGGAUUGGUAAGUUCAUUGAGGCCAAGUGCU